UACAGAGGCCCCGAGCGUUGUUCGAUGAUCACUGGGCGUAAAGGGUGCGUAGGUGGCCGGUUAAGUCUGACGUGAAAUCUCCGAGCCUAACUCGGAAACUGCGUCGGAAACUAUCCGGCUCGAGGGUUGGAGGGGGGACUGGAAUACUUGGUGUAGCAGUGAAAUGCGUAGAUAUCAAGUGGAACACCAGUGGCGAAGGCGAGUCCCUGGACAACUCCUGACACUGAGGCACGAAAGCUAGGGGAGCAAACAGG
rnacentral:rRNA from 1 species